rnacentral:rRNA from 1 species
UACGUAGGGUGCAAGCGUUGUCCGGAAUUAUUGGGCGUAAAGAGCUCGUAGGCGGUUUGUUGCGUCGGCUGUGAAAUCCCGAGGCUCAACCUCGGGUCUGCAGUCGAUACGAGCAAACUAGAGUGUUGCAGGGGAGACUGGAAUUCCUGGUGUAGCGGUGAAAUGCGCAGAUAUCAGGAGGAACACCGGUGGCGAAGGCGGUUCUCUGGGCAUUACCUGACGCUGAGGAGCGAAAGCAUGGGGAGCGAACAGG